AUGAGAACCCGAAAUUAGUAUUACAAAUACAGAAUAAGGAUUUUAUUCAUCACAUUCAUCUAGCACCUACACAUUUCCACAUCCAUCUUACUCUUAAAUAAAUUGAUGGUGUUGGAAACACUCAUCAUAUGCCAACCAUCCCACUAAACACUCAUCAUUCCACUAAACACUCAUUAUUCCACACACUCAUCAUUCCACUAAACACUCUUUACACCUUCUUUUGCCAGCCAUCUUCUACACCUUUAACAUCUCAACAUGCAAUUAGCUUUUAUUUAAUCAAAAUCUUAUCAUCAAUCCUCUGCCAUUUCAAUUAGACAAAAGCCAAGUUUUAAAAGCUAAGUUUCCUUCUAUUAGUUCAUCCGCUCUUUCCUUCUCUUUUCAACACACCCAACAAAGUUUAAAGUGCAGAGUAAUCAAGCAGAUUCAGAUCCAAAUUCAUUGUUAAAUUGUUGAUUCGCAGAUCAAACUUUGUGAGUUCAGAAAAUUAUCAAGGCUUCGAGCAUCAGAAGGAUUAGCACUGCUAUUCCGAUUCAGAGAUAAGGUUAAACGACAGGCUUUGCCUAUACAGGUGGGCAUUAUUUUAUUAUUACGUAUAUAGAGAUCCCCUGCGUGACGUAGGCCUCAUAUGCGAAUAUAUAUGCAUGAUAUGUUUUGACUAUUUAUUCAGUUCUUAUGAAAUGCUUAUAUGUUUAAUGCCCUUUAUGAAAAUGAAAAUGUUAUGAAAAUGAAAUGUUUAUGAAAUGAUUGACUGCCAAAAUGUUUAUGUUUUUAUAUGUAUCCUAUCUGUGUUGGUUCGCCAACUUUAAAGGAAAUCCAAUUGGGAUCCUAUGCUAGACAAAGGUCGCUAGCUAGGGUUAACGUGUACACUCAUGGAGACCGCGAGUCGCUUGCGACCGGUCUUGGCGUCCGUGGUAAGGAGGCAUCCUUCCCGGCGCAUGAUAGAAAGGAACAGAUAUGGAUCAUAUGAAGGAAAAUGAUCGGCCGAUCGACUUUAUGAAAAUGAAAGAAAUAUUUUAGUAAGCGCAGGUCAUUUAAGAAAACCCCUGUGUGUUACUGUUAUGGCAGUUCAAUUUAUAUAUGUAUGCAUGAAUGUAUUUUCGGCUAUGCCCACUGAGUAUUUUUAUACUCAGCCCUGCAUGUAUUUCUAAAUGUGCAGGUUGAGCAGUUGAUGGAAUGGAAUGAUGUUGAGCGGGUGUUCCUUUGACAUUUCAAGAAAUGUAACCUUGAGUAUACAUCUUCAUAUGUAUAUCUCACACGUUUUCCGCUGCAAAACACUUUGAUUAGGAUAACUUUAUGUUAUGAAAUUGUGACACGUGUUAUUGGGUAACCCACCUUAAUCAGUUCUCAUUUAUGUGUAUGUUUUAUAAGUAUCCAAAUAAUCAUAUAUGAUCCUAGCAUUUUAUCUAUGAGUGACAUUUCCAUAUACUUUAAUGUUAAGUAAUUGUCCAUUUCCA